GAUGAACGCUGACAGAAUGCUUAACCCAUGCGAGUCUUUGGCGAAGCUGUGCUUGCACAGCCUAGCCAAGGCGGACGGGUGAGUAACGCGUAAGGAACUUGCCCUGCAGUCAGGGAUAACAGACGGAAACGACUGAUAAGACCUGGUAAAGUCAGGCGGACUCAUGUCCAGCCUGAUGAAAAGAGAUGCUGCAGGAGAGCCUUGCGUCCUAUUAGCUUGUUGGUGGGGUAACGGCCCACCAAGGCGAUGAUAGGUAGCCGGCCUGAGAGGGUGGACGGCCACAAGGGGACUGAGAUACGGCCCUUACUCCUACGGGAGGCAGCAGUGGGGAAUAUUGGACAAUGGGGGCAACCCUGAUCCAGCAAUUCUGUGUGCACGAUGAAGGUUUUCGGAUUGUAAAGUGCUUUCAGCGGGGAAGAAAAAAAUGACGGUACCUGCAGAAGAAGCGACGGCUAAAUACGUG
rnacentral:rRNA from 1 species